UCCAGAGUUUGACGCGCUAGAAUG
rnacentral:miRNA from 1 species